rnacentral:sRNA from 1 species
UAAUGAUAAUAGAAAAGGAGUUGAGCGCCAACUCAACUCCCAUGUAGAACCGUUUAAGACGGUGGCUCAUAACAGAAUGAGUAA